UACGGGGGGGGCAAGCGUUGUUCGGAAUUACUGGGCGUAAAGGGCUCGUAGGUGGCCAACUAAGUCAUGCGUGAAAUCCCUCGGCUUAACCGGGGAACUGCGUCUGAUACUGGAUGGCUUGAGUUUGGGAGAGGGAUGCGGAAUUCCAGGUGUAGCGGUGAAAUGCGUAGAUAUCUGGAGGAACACCGGUGGCGAAGGCGGCAUCCUGGACCAACACUGACACUGAGGCGCGAAAGCGUGGGGAGCAAACAGG
rnacentral:rRNA from 1 species